AUUGAACGUGGCGGCGGGCUUAACACAUGCAAGUCGAACGGUAGCAGGAGAAAGCUUGCUUUCUUGCUGACGAGUGGCGGACGGGUGAGUAAUGCUUGGGAAUCUGGCUUAUGGAGGGGGAUAACGACGGGAAACUGUUGCUAAUACCGCGUAUUAUCGGAAGAUGAAAGUGCGGGACUGAGAGGCCGCAUGCCAUAGGAUGAGUCCAAGUGGGAUUAGGUAGUUGGUGGGGUAAAGGCCUACCAAGCCUGCGAUCUCUAGCUGGUCUGAGAGGAUGACCAGCCACACUGGAACUGAGACACGGUCCAGACUCCUACGGGAGGCAGCAGUGGGGAAUAUUGCGCAAUGGGGGGAACCCUGACGCAGCCAUGCCGCGUGAAUGAAGAAGGCCUUAGGGUUGUAAAGUUCUUUCGGUAUUGAGGAAGGUUGAUGUGUUAAUAGCACAUCAAAUUGACGUUAAAUACAGAAGAAGCACCGGCUAACUCCGUGCCAGCAGCCGCGGUAAUACGGAGGGUGCGAGCGUUAAUCGGAAUAACUGGGCGUAAAGGGCACGCAGGCGGUUAUUUAAGUGAGGUGUGAAAGCCCCGGGCUUAACCUGGGAAUUGCAUUUCAGACUGGGUAACUAGAGUACUUUAGGGAGGGGUAGAAUUCCACGUGUAGCGGUGAAAUGCGUAGAGAUGUGGAGGAAUACCGAAGGCGAAGGCAGCCCCUUGGGAAUGUACUGACGCUCAUGUGCGAAAGCGUGGGGAGCAAACAGG
rnacentral:rRNA from 1 species